ensembl:lncRNA
GUCGUUCUAAUGAGGUCAUUUCCGGGUAACCCGGUGUAGACUUGAAAACAUUUUUAAACUGAACAUUUCCGGUGGAUAAAUUCGGAGAUAAACCGUCAUGGUGAACGUGCAGUACUGUAUCAUAAAUAUUAUACACUCACCGGAGUUUUCACAUCGUUGUCAGCCUUGCUUUCAGCGAAUUUCUCUGAAGACUUGAACUCGGUCGUCAGUGGCUUUUUCCGCUCGCUGCCUCGUUCCUGUUCACGUCGCGGUGUUUACCGGCUCGCCUCGGAGUUUUAUGCGCUCUUUUCGAGCAGGUAAUUAAGACGCCGUUCUCUAAACCGACCCUCGCCAUGUUCUUCAGUCUUGUACACAGUUUUCGACCUGCCUCCAACUUUCAGUACCGACGCGCUUCCCGUUUCAAACGGCUGUUUGUUUGUUUGUUUUUGACCGGGCUCGAACUUUAAGCGAGCGUUGAAUCACUACCCGUCGAAACAGUACGCACAAAACUACGCCUCGUACGGUAUUUAGUGCGGUAGUGUGUGGUUUUUUGGCGUAACCCGGUCAUUCGUAUAACUGUAUAAUUACGUAACGCUGUUAGUAUGCAGAGCGCUGGAAAAGAUGGCAACUCAAAGUGAGGUGGAUUCAUGGCUCAUCUCGCUCCGUCCGAGCCGUAGCUGAGGAUAAGACAGACAUCACCCUCCCGCUCUGGACACUGUCUCUGUCCUCACUUUUUCUAGGCGGACUCACGCGCUUUGACACGCCCCUUUUCUGUCCGGGCUGACCAAUAAGGAGGCGCUUGGCUCUCAGCUGUACUCUACGGCCUUCACUUUCUGCACUCUGUGACCUCAGGCACAACCUGCAUAUCCUCCCAUCAACUGUUUUCCACUUCAUUCACGCAGCACGUUACUGUUUUAUCCAUUUUACAGCAAACCUUACUGCAAAGUAAUUGCACAUAAUUGCGUUAAUAUAUGAUUUUUUUGCAGAUUUAUCUAAUCUCUCUCUCUGUACAGAGGAGAUAAACCACAGGAAGCUACACAUACACUGUAGCCUACUGUAACAUCUGGCAACAUGAUGCACUGACAUAAGUGUUUCUUUCUUCCUUAGGCCUUUUUU